GACGAACGCUGGCGGCACGCUUAACACAUGCAAGUCGAACGAGAGAAGAGAAGCUUGCUUUUCUGAUCUAGUGGCGGACGGGUGAGUAACACGUGAGCAAUCUGCCUUUCAGAGGGGGAUACCGAUUGGAAACGAUCGUUAAUACCGCAUAAUAUAAUUGAACCGCAUGAUUUGAUUAUCAAAGAUUUAUCGCUGAAAGAUGAGCUCGCGUCUGAUUAGCUAGUUGGUAAGGUAACGGCUUACCAAGGCGACGAUCAGUAGCCGGACUGAGAGGUUGAUCGGCCACAUUGGGACUGAGACACGGCCCAGACUCCUACGGGAGGCAGCAGUGGGGAAUAUUGCACAAUGGAGGAAACUCUGAUGCAGCGAUGCCGCGUGAGGGAAGAAGGUUUUAGGAUUGUAAACCUCUGUCUUCAGGGACGAAAAAAGACGGUACCUGAGGAGGAAGCUCCGGCUAACUACGUGCCAGCAGCCGCGGUAAUACGUAGGGAGCGAGCGUUGUCCGGAAUUACUGGGUGUAAAGGGAGCGUAGGCGGGAUCGCAAGUCAGAUGUGAAAACUACGGGCUUAACCCAUAAACUGCAUUUGAAACUGUGGUUCUUGAGUGAAGUAGAGGUAAGCGGAAUUCCUAGUGUAGCGGUGAAAUGCGUAGAUAUUAGGAGGAACAUCAGUGGCGAAGGCGGCUUACUGGGCUUUAACUGACGCUGAGGCUCGAAAGCGUGGGGAGCAAACAGGAUUAGAUACCCUGGUAGUCCACGCCGUAAACGAUGAUUACUAGGUGUGGGGGGACUGACCCCUUCCGUGCCGCAGCAAACGCAAUAAGUAAUCCACCUGGGGAGUACGACCGCAAGGUUGAAACUCAAAGGAAUUGACGGGGGCCCGCACAAGCAGUGGAGUAUGUGGAUUAAUUCGAAGCAACGCGAAGAACCUUACCAGGUCUUGACAUCGUAUGCAUAGCUCAGAGAUGAGUGAAAUCUCUUCGGAGACAUAUAGACAGGUGGUGCAUGGUUGUCGUCAGCUCGUGUCGUGAGAUGUUGGGUUAAGUCCCGCAACGAGCGCAACCCUUACUGUUAGUUGCUACGCAAGAGCACUCUAGCAGGACUGCCGUUGACAAAACGGAGGAAGGUGGGGAUGACGUCAAAUCAUCAUGCCCCUUAUGACCUGGGCCUCACACGUACUACAAUGGCUGUCAACAGAGGGAAGCAAAGCCGCGAGGUGGAGCGAACCCCUAAAAGCAGUCUUAGUUCGGAUUGUAGGCUGCAACCCGCCUACAUGAAGUCGGAAUUGCUAGUAAUCGCAGAUCAGCAUGCUGCGGUGAAUACGUUCCCGGGCCUUGUACACACCGCCCGUCACGCCAUGGGAGUCGGUAACACCCGAAGCCUGUAGUCUAACCGCAAGGAGGACGCAGUCGAAGGUGGGAUUGAUGACUGGGGUG
rnacentral:rRNA from 1 species